rnacentral:rRNA from 1 species
AACGAACGCUGGCGGCAUGCCUAACACAUGCAAGUCGAACGAGACCUUCGGGUCUAGUGGCGCACGGGUGCGUAACGCGUGGGAACCUGCCCUUAGGUUCGGAAUAACUCCCCGAAAGGGGUGCUAAUACCGGAUAAUGUCUUCGGACCAAAGAUUUAUCGCCUUUGGAUGGGCCCGCGUUGGAUUAGCUAGUUGGUAGGGUAAAAGCCUACCAAGGCGACGAUCCAUAGCUGGUCUGAGAGGAUGAUCAGCCACACUGGAACUGAGACACGGCCCGGACUCCUACGGGAGGCAGCAGUGGGGAAUAGUGGACAAUGGGCGAAAGCCUGAUCCAGCAAUGCCGGGUGAGUGAUGAAGGCCUUGGGGUAGUAAAGCUCUUUUAACCGGGAUGAUAAUGACAGUACCGGGAGAAUAAGCUCCGGCUAACUCCGUG